rnacentral:rRNA from 1 species
CAGUAGCCACGGUAAUACGAAGGGGGCUAGCGUUGUUCGGAAUUACUGGGCGUAAAGCGCACGUAGGCGGAUAUUUAAGUCAGGGGUGAAAUCCCAGAGCUCAACUCUGGAACUGCCUUUGAUACUGGGUAUCUUGAGUAUGGAAGAGGUGAGUGGAAUUCCGAGUGUAGAGGUGAAAUUCGUAGAUAUUCGGAGGAACACCAGUGGCGAAGGCGGCUCACUGGUCCAUUACUGACGCUGAGGUGCGAAAGCGUGGGGAGCAAACAGGAUUAGAUACCCCGGUAGUCCCUGUCUCUUAUAC